CCUCCAGGUUCCUGCCCUAUUUGAGUUCCCUCAGUAACGGAGUGUGCUACGGAAGUGAAGCUGAAAUAUACCCGCUCCUGCCCAUGCUGCUUUUGGUCAUGGUGCUUUAUCACAGUAGCUAAGUCAGGCUCCUUUUGGAUCUCGUGGGCCCUGCGGAGUUGCCAUGAUGUCUUGUUGGACAGAGCCCAGGGUGUCAUCUGAAUACCAACAUUCCAGAUUGUGACCUUGUCGGUGUCCUGGUGCCAGUGAGUCUAAAGUCCCAAGAUCUCUGGCUACUGCCUCAAGGGCCUGGCACCCAUACACCUCAUUUUCACAUCCCUCCUCUUAACAAGGCUAAGAAAUAGUCUCUCAUAGACGUCCUUAUCUCUGAAAGCUACAUCUUAAAGAUCUGAAGCCACUUUAUUCCCUAGCUCUGAGUCUAUCCAGAAAAAUCAAUGCCCUGAGUCCAAAGCACUGUGUCCAAAGACCAGGACUCAGAGGAGAGCUGUGGGUGGUGGGAGCUUGGUGCCUGCUGCUGUUAGGGGCACAGAUGCCUGGCUGCUGGCUGUUAUGUCAAGCUAUGGCUCUGCCUGUUUUCUCAUCUUCUGGAAGAAUUCAUCCACUGGACUCCCCUCCCAGGAUGAGCAUGAUUCAAGAUGAGCCCCAGAUCAGCAAAGGAGAAGAGGGUCUUCUUACAGUUCUGAUGAAGUCAUGAUGGGAGGAAAAGGAACAAAUUCCUCACCAAAGGCAAAAGAGUAGUAUAUACUGAAAAAAGUGGUACCCAAAGAAUAAUGAAUUCAGAUGGGAUUACCAAACAAGCUCCCCAUUGUGACUCAUAUCCCCGGAGAGAGUGAGGCCAGCAACAACUUCUCACAAACCUGACAGCUUUGAGAAACCUCAAGCUGGCAUCCUCAGUGCUGCCCCAGAAGACACACGACUCAGAUGUGCUGGGUCUGGAGACAAUUGGAGCCUCUGUCUGUCUUCCAGAGGUCUCACCUGCAGGAAAAGCGAGCCGCGGAAACCUCAAAGGACUCGGGAGCACGGCCUUGCUCUGAUUUCUCUGGAGCUAUACUCACCUUUUUGUGGAAAAUGACACCUCCAUAUGACACAAGAAACCAGUGGAGAAGACAGAGGAAUGAAAGACUAUCAAUGACACACGGGAAUGGAGUGAGAUAAAAACAGAUCUCGGAGAGGUAGGUCCUCCACACCUCGAGAAAGACAUUAGACUCUAAUGAUCAGUCAUCAGCUAGUCAGCCAACAAACAAAGAAAUCAGUAGGGACCCGAACCUUUGUAAGCCCCAGAAGAGGCUAACUCCUGACUCUUGGGGCACCUGGCAAGGCACAGGGAUGUGUGGCAGCAGGGGAUUCCUGAGGAUGCCUGAUCCAUCAUGAAAGGGCACUAGAGACCACCUCCCCCUGGCUCAGUGUAAUUUAAUUCACAAGUAGCUGAGACUUCUUUGUAAAGCAAUCGCUGUCAAGUUCAAGGCUCCAGUGGCUAGCACUGGUUGAAUUUCAUCCCCUGGGCAUUGCAUCUGUCCUCUGAAUUCUGAUAUUCGUCACAGGGUUGGAUCAAUGCAAACAGAGUUUUGCCAAAGAGAUAGGCACGGGAGCCAGGGCCUGGUACCUUAUCUUGGCCCAGGGCCUCCUCCACUUCAGCAGUCUUCUACACAGUGCCGUGACUGUAGGACACUGAGAAGCCAGCCAGCGGACAUUUGAUAAACACUUUGAUCUGAUGAUUGACGUCUUCUGCUUCUUCCACGUGCACCUAUCCUCACUGCUGUGGUCUCCGCAAUCUGAUUGGUUUUGGUUCCUAUUUCAUCACUUCCAAAAUGAGGGUUCAGCUACAACUCUGCAUGUCUAGUAUCUGGCAAGGACUAACUACUGCACCGGGGAUACAGGCGGCCUUGGAAAGAGCCAUGGUGGUGUUAGGAUACUGGAGCUCCAGGGAACAGAGGUAGAUCGGUGUGCGCAGUUGGAGAAUAGUCGCAGAUUCAUAAAGAGAGGCUACCACACCACCGUUAAGCAUUAUGCAGCUGCAGCACAGCCUGCAUACUGGCUUGUCGUCUCCACAGCUGCACAGCUUCUCAUUGGCUUGACUCACUUUCCUUGCGCUGAAUUUGAACCCAGCACUGCAGGGUCAGGAUGGCCAAAGCACUUCAAAAGCAGCUCUUUCAGAAGGGUUUCCUCCUGAUCAAUUCUCCUGUCCCCCCCACUCCCCCUUGAUACUCAUAUUUAAACAGUAAAUAAAGGGAGCGAGUUCUCCGAGGCUAGAGACACCAUCGUGACCCAGAG